rnacentral:rRNA from 1 species
UAAGGAAUAUUGGACAAUGGCCGCAAGGCUGAUCCAGCCAUCCAGCGUGCAGGAAGAAGGCCCUAUGGGUUGUAAACUGCUUUUAUCAGGGAAGAAACCCUUGGAUUUACUCCGAGGCUGACGGUACCUGAAGAAUAAGCACCGGCUAACUCCGUGCCAGCAGCCGCGGUAAUACGGAGGGUGCGAGCGUUAUCCGGAAUUACUGGGUUUAAAGGGUGCGUAGGCGGCUUUGUAAGUCAGGAGUGAAAGUUUGCGGCUCAACCGUAAAAUUGCUUUUGAUACUGCGAGGCUAGAAUUAGGAUGAGGUCAGCGGAAUGUGGCAUGUAGCGGUGAAAUGCAUAGAUAUGCCAUAGAACACCAAUUGCGAAGGCAGCUGGCUAGACCUGGAUUGACGCUGAGGCACGAAAGCGUGGGGAGCGAACAG